rnacentral:lncRNA from 1 species
GGAGGAGAUGUAGAGGAGGAGAUAUAGGGGUGGAGGAGGAGAUGUAGAGCUAGAGGAGGAGAUAUAGAGGAGGAGAUAUAGAGGUGGAGAUAUAGAGGUAGAGGAGGAAAUGUAGAGGUAGAGGAGGAGAUAUAGUGGUGGAGAUAUAGAGGAGGAGAUAUAGAGGUGGAUUAGGAGAUGUAGAGGAGGAGAUAUAGAGGAGGAGAUGUAGAGGCAGAGAUAUAGAUGAGGAGAUAUAGAGGAGGAGAUGUAGAGGAGGAGAUGUAGACGUAGAGGAGGAGAUAUAGAGGUGGUGGAGGAGAUUUAGAGGAGGAGAUGUAGAGGUAGAGGAGGUGAUAUAGAGGUAGAGGAGGAGAUGUAGAGGUAGAGGAGGAUAUAUAGAAGUGGAGGAGGAGAUAUAGAGGAGGAGAUGUAGAGGUAGAGGAGGUGAUAUAGAGGUAGAGGAGGAGAUGUAGAGGUAGAGGAGGAUAUAUAGAGGUGGAGGAGGAGAUGUAGAGGUAGAGGAGGUGAUAUUGAGGAGGAGGAGGAGAUGCAGAGGUAGAGGAGGAGAUAGAGGAGAUGUAGAGGAGGAGAUAUAGAGGAAGAGAUAUAAAGGUAGAGGAGGAGAAAUAGAGGAGGAGAUGUAGAGGAGGAGAUGUAGAGGAGGAGAUAUUGAGGAGGAGAUAUAGAGGAGGAGAGGUAGAGGAGGAGAUAUAGAGGAGUAGAGGAGGAGAUAUAGAGGAGGAGAUAUAGAGGAGGAGAUAUAGAGGUAGAGGAGGAGAAAUAGAGGAGGAGAUAUAGAGGAGGAUAUGUAAAGGAGGAGAUGUAGAGGAGGAGAUGUAGAGGAGGAGAUGUAGAGGAGGAGAUGUAGAGGUAGAGGAGGAGAUAUAGAGGAGAUAUAGAGGAGGAGAUAUAGAGAAGGAGAUAUAGAGGAGGAGAUGUAGAGGAGGAGAUUUAGAGGUAGAGGAGGAGAUAUAGAGGUGGAGGAGGAGAUAUAGAGGAGGAGAUAUAGAGGAGGAGAUGUAGAGGAGGAGAUGUAGAGGAGGAGAUGUAGAGGAGGAGAUGUAGAGGAGGAGAUAUAGAGGAGGAGAUAUAGAGGAGGAGAUGUAGAGAAGGAGAUGUAGAGGAGGAGAUGUAGAGGUAGAGGAGGAGAUAUAGAGGAGAUAUAGAGGAGGAGAUAUAGAGAAGGAGAUAUAGAGGAGGAGAUAUAGAGGAGGAGAUGUAGAGGAGGAGAUUAAGAGGUAGAAGAGGAGAUGUAGAGGUAGAGGAGGAGAUGUAGAGGUAGAGGAGGAGAUGUAGAGGAGGAGAUGUAGAAGUAGAGGAAGAUAUAUAGAGGAGGAGAUGUAGAGGAGGAGAUGUAGAGGUAGAGGAGGAGAUAUAGAGGAGAGGUAGAGGUAGAAAAAAAAAUGUCAAAAUGAGAGGUAGAGGAG